GAGCAAGUACAAUGUGGAUGACGUUUAGGCCUCUUGUCAUGCAGACAUGUUGUUCCACACUCCCUGUUGGCUCCAAUGUCUAGAGCUCGUUAUGCUGCCGCCCUGCCCUCUUUAAAGAAGGCAACGGCAGUCAUUGGUUCUGCUGUGGAUAUUGGACUAGGCGAGCACUGUGCACCAGAUGGGAUACUGGUGUUGGCAGUGCAUUCUCUCCCAUGGGGAGUAUAUAGAGUGGUUUGGUAGUUCAUUUGGCCUUGGGGAGGCACUGGUGGUACUACCCUUUGUUUCUUUUCCUGGAAGGUGCAGUUGGACUGGUAAGCCUGUUAGAGUCUUGUGUUCAUUUGGGGGAGCUUUUUUCAUCUCCUAUUAUUUUCACAGAUAUAACAUUGCUUACGGAGGGGCUGGGGGGGCUUGCUGGGGUGCAAGUAUCUGGUCUUGCCUAGGGUGCAAAAUAGCCUAGCACCAGCCCUGUUGCCAGUGACACUGUUUUGUCAUUGCUCACCAUAUUGUAUCUCUGGAGAAGCAGCAUUGCCACCCUAGGACAUGACUACAGAACACCACCCUUUCUCCUCUUCACGGUUACAUAAGGGAGGUGGAGGUUGUUUUGUAGUCCACACAGAGAGCUGGAAACAUUGUAACUGAUAACAGCCAGCAGAGGCACAUUGCAUAGGACAUUAGGAGCUUAAAUGAUUCUGGCAGGAUUAACAUAUAUUUUUAGGGUUUACAUACACUCAAAAAAUAAAUGUUACCAUUUUUUUUUCACUCUUCAGAGCUGCUGUUACGACAGAAGGUUGGAGGACAUACAGUAUGUAACGAGUGAAGCCCCCCAUCCUGGUAAAUCAGAUGUCAUUAGUGGAUCCCACAGACAGACACAGCAGGAGGAUCAGAAAAGAAAUGGCAGGAAGUUACUAAGAGAGCCAGUCGGCAGAGGAGUUUGUGCUGUUGGGAGGUAGAAGAGUUUGGAGAAAUGAACCAAGGAAAGUGCAAGCAUGAACAUUUUCAUGAAAAAGUUAACAAUAUACUAAUGACAAAAAUGGUUUAGUUCUAAUGAAAUCAUGAUGGACCUAUUAUUAAUUACUGUACUUCAACCAUGGAAGGCUAAUACCACCUGCAGUGCUGUUGGUUGAUGGCAAGCUGAACCAUCGACUAUCUUCUAUUUCUCAGAAACUAUAAUGAAAAUGAAUGUCACUGGAAUUGCUUAGUUCUGCUCAACUGCUAUGGCCAUUAAAAAGUCUACCAAUGUCACACCACUCUUUGGAUUUUCCACGAAGAAAUAACUGAAAUCCAUGUCACCACUGGCAGAAGUUUGAUACAGAAACUACUAUUGGGGAAUCUUGGCAUAUUAGCGAGACCUAAUCUCUGAGAGACCUAAUGCCUUGUAUACACAAUCGGAAUUUCCAAUGGAAAAAGUAAGACAGAAUUUUUUAAUCGGAUAUUCCAACCGUGUGUGUGCCUCA